UAAGCCUGAACUGAAAAUAAUGUUAAAGUAAUAGGACGGGCUCAUAAAAAUCUGAAAAGAGCACACGUGGAAACCUUGAAAAUUCGACGAAUUAGAUAUCGUUUUCUCCGAUUGAUUGUGGAGUGGAGUGCCUUAAUAGAUUUUGACUGUCGUUGGUAGAGUUAACGCCACACCUGUUGUUAGGUACAGCGUUGACACAAAGGAACAGUUUAAGCAGCUGAUAGAUUAAAGCACGGAAUCAAAACUAAGCCCUUCCCUUCCAAGUACUGGAAGUGAAUUCCACAGCGAUUUCAAAGACGAAUAAAUCUCAAAAUUUCUGUCUCUAAAAAGGGUUUUGUAAGCGUCCAUUAUUGCAUUUCGAAAAUGAAACACUUUAUAUCAUUUGAUGACGAACAGGUAAGUGCACAGAAAAAUUACACGUGGUAUGAGCUAAAGACGUGUCGACUCUGAACAAAGAUUUCUUUAGAGUCACUCUUUUAUUUUUCACUUGGUGUAUUACAUUAUACACAUGAAAAAAAAAUAUUUCAUGAACGAUUAGAAUUACAUAACAGUCUCAAGGUCUUACAUCUAAUACAUGUUAAUGGUGGUUCGAAUUAAAAAAUUUCAAGAACAAAGUUACUCAAUUUUUUUCCCCCUUCAGACUUACACA